rnacentral:SRP_RNA from 1 species
CCGUGCUAAGCGGGGAGGUAGCGGUGCCCUGUACCCGCAAUCCGCUCUAGCGGGGCCGAAUCCCUUCUCGAGGUUCGUUUACUUUAAGGUCUGCCUUAAGUAAGUGGUGUUGACGUUUGGGUCCUGCGCAAUGGGAAUUCAUGAACCAUGUCAGGUCCGGAAGGAAGCAGCAUUAAGUGAAACCUCUCAUGUGCCGCAGGGUUGCCUGGGCUGAGCUAACUGCUUAAGUAACGCUUAGGGUAGCGAAUCGACAGAAGGUGCACGG